rfam:Salmo salar isolate Sally breed double haploid chromosome ssa08, whole genome shotgun sequence.
UGCACUCACUACUGUAAAUCGCUCUGGAUAAGAGUGUCUGCCAAAGGACUGUAA